rnacentral:piRNA from 2 species
UGGAAUCAUGGAUGUUGCCCUGGAU